rnacentral:lncRNA from 1 species
GCCAACUGCCACAGUAUGUCAGUUGUAACUGUGAUUUUAUACAUUUUUAAGACUGGAACAAUAAACACGGCUCCAGCCUAAGGGCUGGAGACAUCCAAGGCCCUCAGCUGCUGCCACCAUAGAACCCACCUCUUAGGCCCUUAUUUCCUCAGCUGCCGAAUGAGGAUGCUCAUGUGUCUCUGCCUCACUCGUCCCAGGACAGGUGAGCACAUUAAAAGAUUGAAGGUUGCCUACAUCUUCUGAUGGUGGGAUCACAGAACCACCUUAUGGAUGCAGGUCAUGCUGCAGGAUGGAUGAAAUCCAAGUGCUGAGAGGAGCUUCAACUAGACCAACAGCAGUUGGCAGAGAGAUUCCCCAACUGGCAGGAGGAUGCCAGCAGCAAGAGUGGAAAGAUGAGGCUGGGAAUAAGAAGAUUGCUAACGCAGAUUUGCUGAAAGCAGCACCCUGGUAUAUUUCUUUGAAUAUCAGACAUUUGAAAACUGGGA